CCAGACUCCUACGGGAGGCAGCAGUGGGGAAUAUUGCACAAUGGGGGAAACCCUGAUACAGCAACGCCGCGUGGGUGAAGGAGCGUUUCGGCGCGUAAAGCCCUGUCAGCGGGGAAGAAGAAAGACGGUACCCGACCAAGAAGCCCCGGCUAACUACGUGCCAGCAGCCGCGGUAAUACGGAGGAUGCGAGCGUUAUCCGGAUUUAUUGGGUUUAAAGGGUGCGUAGGCGGGCUGUUAAGUCAGCGGUCAAAUGUCGGGGCUCAACCCCGGCCUGCCGUUGAAACUGGCGGCCUCGAGUGGGCGAGAAGUAUGCGGAAUGCGUGGUGUAGCGGUGAAAUGCAUAGAUAUCACGCAGAACUCCGAUUGCGAAGGCAGCAUACCGGCGCCCUACUGACGCUGAGGCACGAAAGCGUGGGUAUCGAACAGGAUUAGAUACCCUAGUAG
rnacentral:rRNA from 1 species